GGACGGUUAGCUCAGUUGGUUAGAGCGCCUCGCUUACACCGAGGAUGUCGCAGGUUCGAGUCCUGCACCGUCUACCA
rnacentral:tRNA from 1 species